CCUACGGGAGGCAGCAGUGGGGAAUAUUGCACAAUGGGGGAAACCCUGAUGCAGCGACGCCGCGUGAGUGAAGAAGUAUUUCGGUAUGUAAAGCUCUGUCAGCAGGGAAGAAAAUGACGGUACCUGACCAAGAAGCCCCGGCUAACUACGUGCCAGCUGCCGCGGUAAUACGUAGGGGGCCAGCGUUAUCCGGAUUUACUGGGUGUAAAGGGAGCGUAGACGGCAGGGCAAGUCCGGAGGGAAAGGCGGGGGCUCAACCCCCGGACUGCUCUGGAAACUGGCAGGCUGGAGGGCAGGAGAGGUAAGUGGAAUUCCGAGUGUAGCGGUGAAAUGCGUAGAUAGUAGGAGGAACUCCAGUGGCGAAGGCGGCUUACUGGACUGUAACUGACGUUGAGGCUCGAAAGCGUGGGGAGCAAACAGGAUUAGAUACCCCGGUAGUC
rnacentral:rRNA from 1 species